GCUGCGGUGUCCGAGUGGUUAAGGAGUUGGACUCGAAAUCCAAUGGGGUCUCCCCGCACAGGUUCGAAUCCUGUCCGCAGCG